AUGAGCAAAAAAAAAGCAAUGUUAAAUAGAAGGGAAAUGUUUACACCCGGCGCGUCAGGCAAACUUUGGGCCGGACGUGCGCGGGACGUUCGAUCGUGGGGGCAUCAUAUGGUCAGAAGGGAGCGUGACCCCACCUUAUCCCUUUGUUUUUUUACGUUGACUUUGGCUACUCGGCGCACUCCCAUCCUCUUGCUCCCCGCGUGCUUCCCCGUCAACCGUCGUUAUCCCCGUCGUUCCCCUGCCCGAUUAGACGCCGGCGAGCUGCUACCACACAUGGCCAGAGUGCGAACUGGAAUGCUCGCCGGCGAGCUGCUACCACACAUGAUCGGUGUACGAACUGGAGUGCUCGCCGGCGAGCUGCUACCACACAAGGCUGGAGUACGAUCGAACUGGAGUGCUCGCCGGCGAGAUGCUACCUCCGCACACGGCGUGCAAGCCAUAGCUGGCAAGGCAAAGCUGGAAGGUAACACUGGUGGCUUCGUAUGA
rnacentral:rRNA from 1 species